rnacentral:tRNA from 1 species
UCGGCGCCAGUGCGGUUGAGGACAUUGAUGCCGCCAUUGCCGGCCUUGAGGGCCAGGUGCGAUACCUGGGUAUUGAUC